rnacentral:rRNA from 1 species
ACCAGACUCCUACGGGAGGCAGCAGUGGGGGAUAUUGCACAAUGGGGGGAACCCUGAUGCAGCGACGCCGCGUGGGUGAAGGAGCACCUCGGUGCGUAAAGCCCUAUCGGCAGGGAAGAAACAGACGGUACCUGACUAAGAAGCCCCGGCUAACUACGUGCCAGCAGCCGCGGUAAUACGUAGGGGGCAAGCGUUAUCCGGAUUCACUGGGUGUAAAGGGAGCGUAGACGGCGACGCAAGUCUGGAGUGAAAGCCCGGGGCCCAACCCCGGGACUGCUCUUGGAACUGCGUGGCUGGAGUGCAGGAGGGGCAGGCGGAAUUCCUGGUGUAGCGGUGAAAUGCGUAGAUAUCAGGAGGAACACCGGUGGCGAAGGCGGCCUGCUGGACUGCAACUGACGUUGAGGCCCGAAAGCGUGGGGAGCAAACAGGAUUAGAUACCCGAGUAAG